CCCGGUGAAAGCCUGGGGUGCCCCGCGAGGGGAGCCCUAGCACAGGUGCUGCAUGGCCGUCGUCAGCUCGUGCCCGUGAGGUGUUUGGGUUAAGUCCCGCAACGAGCGCAACCCCCGCCGUUAGUUGCCAGCGGUUCGGCCGGGCACUCUAACGGGACUGCCCGCGAAAAGCGGGAGGAAGAGGGGACGACGUCUGGUCAGCAUGGCCCUUACGGCCUGGGCGACACACGUGCUACAAUGCCCACUACAAAGCGAGGCCACCCGGCAACGGGGAGCUAAUCGCAAAAAGGUGGGCCCAGUUCGGAUUGGGGUCUGCAACCCGACCCCAUGAAGCCGGAAUCGCUAGUAAUCGCGGAUCAGCCAUGCCGCGGUCGAAUACGUUCCCGGGCCUU
rnacentral:rRNA from 1 species